rnacentral:lncRNA from 1 species
UAAUAUUAUAACUUGUUACCUUUUUAGAACUUAAUUUAUUAUAUUAUCCUUUUAUAGGAAAGAGAAAAAUAUGACAAAAAAAGGCAAAAAAUUAUUUUUGAUUUGCAACAAGAAAAGAACGAAAACAUAAAAAAACUGUUAGCAGGAUAUAAUGAAAAAAUUUUAAAUAUACAAAAUUAUUUUAGACUAAUCUUAGAUGAUCAAUUAGGAAUUAUUCACGCACUAGAGGAUGACAACCUUAUAAAAACUAAAAUAUUUUUUUCAAAAAAAAAGUACUUAGAAGAAUUAAAAAAAAGCAUAUUCACAGAUGGAAAAAAAUUAGAUAAUUUAGACAGAGAUGUGACGUUACUAAAAAAAGAUGUUACAUAUUAUGAAAAACUAAAAACUGAUUUAAAAAAAAUAAAAAAUAAAAGAAAAAAACAACAAAGCAUAUUAACAGAGUUAAAAUUAGAAACCGAUGUAAAAAAAAUGCUAUUUAUAAAAUUAUGUAAACAAUAUGAAGACAUCUAUAAUAAAAAUAAGAUGGAGUUGUAUAAUAAUAUACAACAAAUGUUAUUAGAAAAUCAUAUUUUAGAAACAAGAAUAAAGAUCCAAAAUAAAAAGUUUGAAAUAAAUAACUUAGAGCUGGAAAAGUGGAAAGAAUCACUUGAUAUAAAUCAAAACGAAGUCCUAAAUAAUUUUUUACAAAAUAAGUUUCAAAAUUUUGAAGUAUUAAAAAAAGAAGUUGAAGAUUUAAUAGAUGUACAACAAAAAAACAAAGAAAAUUAUGAAGCUAUACUACAUCUUAAUUAUGUGCCAAAUGAAGAUCUGGACAUUUUGAAAAGAGAAGAAAAUGUAUAUUAAAACAAAAUGGGGAAUCAAAAUAAAAAAGAAUAAACAAAGGAACA